rnacentral:rRNA from 1 species
AUAAUGGGUCAGCGACUUAUAUUCUGUAGCAAGGUUAACCGAAUAGGGGAGCCGAAGGGAAACCGAGUCUUAACUGGGCGUUAAGUUGCAGGGUAUAGACCCGAAACCCGGUGAUCUAGCCAUGGGCAGGUUGAAGGUUGGGUAACACUAACUGGAGGACCGAACCGACUAAUGUUGAAAAAUUAGCGGAUGACUUGUGGCUGGGGGUGAAAGGCCAAUCAAACCGGGAGAUAGCUGGUUCUCCCCGAAAGCUAUUUAGGUAGCGCCUCGUGAAUUCAUCUCCGGGGGUAGAGCACUGUUUCGGCAAGGGGGUCAUCCCGACUUACCAACCCGAUGCAAACUGCGAAUACCGGAGAAUGUUAUCACGGGAGACACACGGCGGGUGCUAACGUCCGUCGUGAAGAGGGAAACAACCCAGACCGCCAGCUAAGGUCCCAAAGUCAUGGUUAAGUGGGAAACGAUGUGGGAAGGCCCAGACAGCCAGGAUGUUGGCUUAGAAGCAGCCAUCAUUUAAAGAAAGCGUAAUAGCUCACUGGUCGAGUCGGCCUGCGCGGAAGAUGUAACGGGGCUAAACCAUGCACCGAAGCUGCGGCAGCGACGCUUAUGCGUUGUUGGGUAGGGGAGCGUUCUGUAAGCCUGCGAAGGUGUGCUGUGAGGCAUGCUGGAGGUAUCAGAAGUGCGAAUGCUGACAUAAGUAACGAUAAAGCGGGUGAAAAGCCCGCUCGCCGGAAGACCAAGGGUUCCUGUCCAACGUUAAUCGGGGCAGGGUGAGUCGACCCCUAAGGCGAGGCCGAAAGGCGUAGUCGAUGGGAAACAGGUUAAUAUUCCUGUACUUGGUGUUACUGCGAAGGGGGGACGGAGAAGGCUAUGUUGGCCGGGCGACGGUUGUCCCGGUUUAAGCGUGUAGGCUGGUUUUCCAGGCAAAUCCGGAAAAUCAAGGCUGAGGCGUGAUGACGAGGCACUACGGUGCUGAAGCAACAAAUGCCCUGCUUCCAGGAA